UACACCACAGCUCACAGCAACACUGGAUGCUUAACCCACUGAGCAAGGCCAGGGACCGAAUUGGAGUCCUCAUGGAUGCUAGUUGGUUUAUUAACCGCUGAGCUGCAAUGGGAACUCUACCCCACAAGCUUUAAAACGGCCCAUAUGGUGGGCCUUCAGCAGCAGACCCAACACACACGGUCACCCAGAGGGUGGGGACCAGCCCCAUGCAAGUCAUCAACCAGCGCCGCCUACAGAACAAACCCCUGUACCACAUGUUUGUCCCUAAGACUACUGUAAAACCAAAGGGGACCCCUGGGCACCUGGCAGGGUCAUGGGGAGGAACCCCACCCAUGCAUGGGGAUGGACCAAGUGGACUCUAGCCUCCCAAGGCAGGGCAAUGACACCUCAUCACAGAGGAAGUGGAGAAGGUCACCCAUCACUAUCACUAUUCUAGUCCAGGAGGUCAGAUCCACAAUGCGGAAGUUCCCAAGAGCAGGAAGCAGAGACUGAAAGAGACCCCCAGAAAGCCAGCUUAGGAGUCUGCAUGAUAGGAUGGGAAUGAAUAUAGGACAAGAAGGAAAUGUUCCAUUUCAGAUUUCCUCCCGGGGAAAAACCGUUCCGAGGAAAUACUUUGAUAAGCAGCCUGUGGUGUGGGGGCAAAAUUCCAGGAGCACGCACAAGUAAUAAGGACGGCAGACACACGUCCUUCUGAGCCCUGGAGGAUGCUCUGCUUCAUGGGAUUUGGGUUUGGGAGUUGGAGAGCAGGACUGAGGAAAGAGCUGGGAAGCUUGGCACAAAGAGGAGAGCGAUUCUGGAUCCUGAUAUGAUGAAGAGCCAGGUGUCCGGGCACCGCACAGAGGACAACUGGGAAUGACCAGCAGUGGUCCCUGGUAAUCAGAAGUUUCUACUGAGGAUGCUAGAAAGUCACUGUGCUGUGGCCCAGGGCUCAUCCCAAGUGCCUUUCAGGGUAAGGACUUCUGGAGUGCAAGGGCGAUGUGCCCAAGUGCCUUUCAGGGGUAAGGACUUCUGGAGUGCAAGGGCGAUGUACCCAAGUGCCUUUCAGGGUAAGGACUUCUGGAGUGCAAGGGUGAUGUCUCGAAUGACACGUGAGCAAAUACCUCCAGCAUGCCUAGAAGCAGGGGCCAGGGGAUGAGGCAGAGCUGGCCUCAGGCUGCAGAAAGAACACAGGGUAGGAGAUAGAGGCUUGAGGGCAAGGCCCAGCUCUGCAGCUAAUGAUGUUUGAGACCCAGAAAAGCUCCUUCCCGCUCUCUGCUUUAUUCACUCAACCCUAAAAAGGGCUCAUGGCCUUUCAGCCCUAACAGUCUAUGACUCUGAUUUUAGUUCAACCCUCUCCUCAACACAGCAUGGGAAGGAGGGGGCUAUUAGCAGAGCAUGUGUGCAUUUACAUGGAAUGGGUUUGCUGCCACUCCAGCAUAACGAACUUUCUCACAGAUUACAUGUGCAAAGAACUGCUCAGAUUGAACUGUAAGAUCACUUCGGAUGCACUAUUGAUUUUCAUUAUUUUCGUUUUCUCCAUCCCUGAGUUCCCAGCAAUCAUCCCCCAGUUUGAUGUCACCCAGAAGAAAAAUCUUGGCCUCCUCUUUCUAAUAAUCAGUUCAUAAAGUCUCAGAACUUGGGGGUCUGAGGAAAUAGGUUGGUUGGGAUAGAAUUUUUUUUUCCUUUUUGGCCACAGCAUGCAGUGGCUUGAUGUGGCAUCAUAGUGCCUGGACUAGGGAUUGAACCUGGGCCACAGCAGUGAAAGCACUGAGAACUAACCACUAGACCAUAAGGGAACUCCCUGGAUAGAACUUUUAUCCUUCCAGAGGGAAGAUGGUUUCUGACCCCUAGAGCCAGAAGAAAUUUCUCUGGCUAGAGCAGUAGGUAUCCUUCAAAGACAAUGUGAUGGACCAGUCUUGCAUGGAUACCCACUCUUCUUAUGUCCCAAAGAGAGCAGCUUCUGGGAGUUCCCAUCAUGGCUUAGUGGAAACAAGUCUGACUAGCAUCCAUGAGGACGCAGGUUCAAUCCCUGGCCUCACUCAGUGGGUUAAGGAUCUGGUGUUGCCAUGACCUGUGGUGUAGGAUGCAGGCUCGACUUGGAUCUGGUGUGGCUGUGGUGUAGGCCAACAGCUACAGCUCCGAUUCAACCCCUUGCUUGGGAAUCUCCAUAUGUCGCGGGUGCAGCCCUAAAAAGACAAGGAAGGAAGGAAGGAAGGAAGAAAAGAAGGAAGGAAGGAAGAAAAGAAGGAAGGAAAUCUCUGUUAUGAAAAAAUUAUCCUGCAAGAGCACAAGGGUGUUUGGGGCCUAGUAUGACUAUCCAUCUGGGAGCGCUCAGCAGCCCUUCUCCUUCAAGGCUCUUCCAAUACCAACUUUCCCACACCUUUCCCCUUGUUUCCCUGCAGUGACCGAGCCAUACACCCUCUAAGCAGCACCAGUUCUCCAGAAGGGUAAGCAAGUUGGAUUUCCGGCAAAGGAGACCUCUUCUGACUUGGCAAGGGCUAUGCAGGGGACUGAGGGUCCUUUUCAGCCUUUCUCUGGAUCCAUUUUCAUCCUAGGCGAGAUGAGCUCUGCACACAAACACUGGGAUGUUACUGUCGGACACUGCUCUGCCUCUGUCAUUGAGGGGCAAUCACAGGUAGCUGUGCACAGAAUGACUUCAACAAUAGAGCAACAAGAUGCACAACUCCAAGGCUAUUUUUUUUUUUUUUACAAAGAAUAAAAACGAAAACUAGAAAGACUGGCUCACCUAAAAAACGUUCAGGAUAGUGGGAAAUACAUCAAGGGACUAUGAUGGAGGGAAAGACCACAGAGAAGGGCGACUCCAGGGCUUAAUGGGUUGGCCUUGGGGACCUGAGACAAUGCAUUCAUUCAUAGGUGUACAAAGGCCCAGUCACUGUCCUAGGUGCUGAAUCCCUACAUAGCCAAAAACAGCCCACAAGGUCCCUACUCUCCCAGCACUUACAGUCUGGUAAGGGGAAACCAACAAUUCAGUCGUAAACAUACCAUAGACAAGAUGACACAGAAAACUGUAAAUGCUGUGAAGAAAACCAAACAGGAUGGAGUGAUUGAGAGACACUGGCAGAGUCAGAGAGGCCUCUCGCAUAGCCUGAGUGUUUAGCCUCUUUUCAGAGGUGACCUUCAGUAGCGACCUGUGGACUGAGAUCAAGGCAGCCAUGCAAAGAUCAGAACAAGGGCAUUCUGAACAUCAACGACAGACCAUACAAAGGUCCAUCGGUGACUUCCAGGGCAGAAACGAGGUCUGUGUGGCUAACACACAGGAUUUUUGUUUGUUUGUUUUUGCUGUCUUAGAAGUUUAGGAGGCAAUGCCUAAGAAAUAUAAGUGCCAGGAGCACUCCACUCUGCACCAUGAGACACAUUUUCGCUUUUGUUUGCCUAUGAUGAUUUUUUUCUCCCCCUACUUCUUUAGAAAAACAAAUGCUGAGCAGAGGUUAGGAACAAAUCUUGGCAUAAAUGUAAACAUCUACUCUGUGGAGACACAAGCAAGAAAUGUGUUUGUUUCUAAUCUGCAAAAGGUAGGAGAGGCCUUAACUCAACUGUUUGCUGGGAGACCCAGACUUUACACGUAUCCCAGUGGGUCCUGAAGCCAACUUAAUGGAUCGUCCUCGUUGAGGAUUCUAGUGUCUUUGGUGGAAGCGAGUGAGCAAAAGCAAACUGAGAUAUUAGAAGAGGCAAAAUAUCUAAGAAGAGAAACUGCAGAUAGAGUCGAGGAAAUGAAUGGGCUGCCAGCAGCAAAUAUCACUUCCGUGAUUCCUGGGAAGGAAUCACGUGACUACCUUCAGUGCGCUAGCUUGCUGCGUGGAUGGCCUCUAAUGAGGCACAGUUUCUAACCAGUUGGAUUUCACAUUGCUCAGUGCCAGCUUGGUGAUUUGUUUUGCAUGAAACACUGCAGCCUGUUAACCCAGUGAGUUACAGUUCUAGGUAGGCAGCCAGAAUCUCUCACAGCCCUGAAACCCUUUUUUCUUAAAAUAAAAAGUGAUGAGGAUGAGGAGGAUGACAAUAAAGGAAAUGAGUUCAAUCAGGUUACCAUCUUGAAAUCUUGAACGAGUCAGGCUAAAAUGACCCAAAUAAUGGACCUCCUUUUUUUUUUUUUUUUUUAAUCUUUUCUGGAUCAUGCCAGGGAAGAGCUCGAUCCAUUUUUCAACGUUUCUCUGCCCUCUCUGCUCUUGUUGGGGGAACGAGGCCUCUCCAUUUCUUUCCUUUCGGGCUCAAGAUAAUUUAGAGUUCUGGAGGAAGCAGGACACUUUGGGACUCUGGCCUGGGACAGACUGAGUGGUGAUGCUGAGGUGUGAGAAUUCAGGAGCAGAGGCAUCACACUUCAUUCAUCUCCACUGUACAAUGUAAAUGUUCUCCUGUGUGUGACACCACAAAAGCAGGCGUUUUCUUCUUUGCGAGAUGGAACAAGAACCAUCCCUAGCCAUAGUCGGUAUGGGGUCUCUCUUGCUGAUUCAAAUGAACUUAAAACCUUGGGCUGAGUGGAGUCUGAUCCCCUGCACCUGCCUCACUGAGCUGCAUCAGUGUCUGACGUUUACCAGGAAACCUCUGUGGUUCCUCUCUCCACAUUCCUCCUCCUCCUCCUGGAACAGAAGGGAACAGACAGAGUAUACUAGCUUUGAUACCAGGAAGGCAUGUCCCUGCUCCCUUUACAAGGGGACAUUUGAUGGAUAAAAUAGCUCACAUCCAAGCUUCCUCUCCAACAGGUCAGGACAAGACAACUCAGUGGUCACAAAUGGAAGGUAGAAGGUGGGUCUUGGUUUGCUGAGUUUCAGCUGCAACUGUUACCUCAACGGGAACUGUACAGAGCUAAUCCGAACACUGGCUCCAUCAAUGCAUGUAACUUAAAUGACAGUAAAAAAAAAAAAAAA
rnacentral:lncRNA from 1 species